rnacentral:misc_RNA from 1 species
CACGUAGGAUUCAAGCGAUAUCCGAAUUUACUGGGCGUAAAGCGCGUGUAGGCGGCCAAGUAAGUUGGACGUGAAAGCUCCUGGCUCAACUAGGAGAGGUCGUUCAAAACUGCCUGGCUAGAGGGCGAUUGAGGGAGGUGGAAUUCCCGGUGUAGUGGUGAAAUGCGUAGAUAUCGGGAGGAACACCAGUGGCGAAGGCGGCCUCCUGGGCCGUGCCUGACGCUAAGACGCGAAAGCUAGGGUAGCAAACGGG